UGCGGUUCUUGUAGUUGAAAUACAACGGUGGUUUUUCAUGCCAUUAGUCAUGGUUAGAGUCCAUGUGGGAAUA
rnacentral:tRNA from 1 species